UUAUGGCUCAGGACGAACGCUGGCGGCGUGCCUAACACAUGCAAGUCGAGCGAGGAGAUUCCUUCGGGAUGAUCCUAGCGGCGGACGGGUGAGUAACACGUGGGCAACCUGCCUCAUAGAGAGGAAUAGCCUUCCGAAAGGGAGAUUAAUACCUCAUAACAUUGCAGUUUCGCAUGGAACAGCAAUUAAAGGAGUAAUCCGCUAUGAGAUGGGCCCGCGGCGCAUUAGCUAGUUGGUGAGGUAACGGCUCACCAAGGCGACGAUGCGUAGCCGACCUGAGAGGGUGAUCGGCCACAUUGGGACUGAGACACGGCCCAGACUCCUACGGGAGGCAGCAGUGGGGAAUAUUGCACAAUGGGGGAAACCCUGAUGCAGCCAACGCCGCGUGAGUGAUGACGGCCUUCGGGUUGUAAAGCUCUGUCUUCAGGGACGAUAAUGACGGUACCUGAGGAGGAAGCCACGGCUAACUACGUGCCAGCAGCUGC
rnacentral:rRNA from 1 species